rnacentral:rRNA from 1 species
CCUACGGGCGGCAGCAGUGAGGAAUAUUGGUCAAUGGGCGCUAGCCUGAACCAGCAAAGUAGCGUGAAGGAUGACUGCCCUAUGGGUUGUAAACUUCUUUUAUAUGGGAAUAAAGUGCAGUAUGUAUACUGCUUUGCAUGUACCUUAUGAAUACGGAUCGGCUAACUCCGUGCCAGCAGCCGCGGGAAUACGGAGGAUCCGAGCGUUAUCCGGAUUUAUUGGGUUUAAAGGGAGCGUAGGCGGGUUGUUAAGUCAGUUGUGAAAGUUUGCGGCUCAACCGUAAAAUUGCAGUUGAUACUGGCAGCCUUGAGUACAGUAGAGGUAGGCGGAAUUCGUGGUGUAGCGGUGAAAUGCGUAGAUAUCACGAAGAACGCCGAUUGCGAAGGCAGCCUGCUGGACUGUAACUGACGCUGAUGCUCGAAAGUGUGGGUAUCAAACAGGAUUAGAUACCCUUGUAGUC